AAAGUCUCGUCAGUUUCUAACCCCGCUGUGUCUUGGAUUUCUUGUUCUUCCCAGGUCCAGAAGAACAAAGGAGGCCAAAUCCAACCGCAAAGUAAGCAUCACCUUCCGACUCUGUUCCGUCACACUGCCCUGUUUCUCCUCCUGACGAUCCUCUGUUUCUGGUGUUCUUUCCGCUCAGGUUGCACGAAUCUCUGUAACUACCGCUGCUCUCAAACUCAGUACCACAAGCCUUGCAUCAAGUACUGUAACCUUUGCUGCCAGAAAUGCCUCUGCGUUCCCCCCGGCUUCUACGGCAACAAGCAAGUCUGCCCCUGCUACAACAACAUGAAGAAUGCCCGCGGCGGUCCAAAGUGCCCGUGAAGAGUGUAUCGAUCGCCCGGCACUCGACGAGAUCUUACUUAGCUUCUUGCAGACGGACUUGUAUUGGCAUGAAAAAAUCUGCCCAUCUGUUUCAGAAGACUCUCACCAAGUUGUAAGAGAAUGAAUACUAUGGCUUUCUCCUCGCUCAUCUUCUCCGCGAUCGAACGGCAAUGGGCGAGACACGUGAGCUGACACGAGCGCGGCUUUUCGUUGGCGAAAAGCUUUCCUCGACAACCAACUUGACUGUUCCUGAAUCUGAAUUUGUUGACUGGACUAGCUAACAGCAAUAAAUCAGAGGAAAGUUCGCAAACAUAGAUUCUAUACCGAAACCAUCUCUCCUUGUGAUCGUCCAGUUGCAAAUCAGUGAAUGUAGAAACAAGUUUAAUAAACUAACUAAAAAGUAGUCGUAGUCCCAAUGUUGAUCAUGCUAAAAGAUAAGCCUGCAGAUUUAGCCUGGAUUAGGGCGCAGUGCUGCUAUUAAAGAACAGAGCCAAGGCGUUUAAGGGCGCCCCGCUUGAUUGUCUUCUGGUUCUGGGGACGGCCAUAGAUGUAGGUGAUUAAAUAAGGUUUGUGGAAAAUUAAUUAGCCUGGAGUUUUGCUGUAGGUUAGGUUACAUCAACCAACACAUUUAACUCAAGAUAUACCACCUUGUUUAGUUUUGUUUGCUCUCUUUGACUAUGAAGAGCCCAAAAAAAGUAUAAAAAUCCCCUUUGUAAUAUAUUAUAUCAGGAACACUGCACACUUACUUGAACAAAACUGUUUAAAAUUAAUUAGGAAAUAUGAGGCUAAUGGGAAAGAUGCCAUUUUCUCACAUGCUCAUGGAAUGUGGUGAUGAUUUGGGGUUUGGCUUGUUUGACUAGUAUAAAGCACUUGGGUUUAGGACCAAAUUGCUCUUUGGCGUACCUUUUCAAGAGUGUCUUAUCAAAUAUAAUACAGGGUUAUCAAUGAGAGUUGAAGGUGGUAAGGUAAAGUUUCUUUUGUCUCUCUUUAAUGAUGAACUUAGAAAGUCACAUAGCAUAGCAUGUGUGAGUAGGACACAUAAAUUGCCUCCAAAUUCAUCAUAAAAGAGAAAUAGCUCUCAUCUUGUCAUAUGUAACUUUGUAUUCUAUAAAUAAAAAACAAUUUUAGAAUAAAAAGGUUAGUUGGGAACAAAUUGGCAAAGCUUGGAUUCUUAAACCUCCUCAGUGGACAAUGCAGUAUAUCUAAACUUUGUUGAAUAGACGAUGCCUUUUGUAUUUUUUUAAAUUAUUAUUCUAGUUUUUCUGAAUCCAAGAUUUUCAUAUAUAACAAAAUAAAUGUCAGGGAUAUUAAUUAAUAUUAGUUUAAAAUGUUAAUUUAAUAAUAUCUGUAUCUCAGAGUUUAAAUAUUUCGCAUUAAUACUGGCAGAUUAAGCGGCACAAAUGCAGAAGAGCCGAAAAGAAAGAAGUUCUGUUUGAGGACAAGCUCUCUUCUUAAUUCCAUGGCGUCCUUCAAAGUUACGUUUGCACUGCUGCAGGUAAGGAAUUCCGUCUUCUCUAGUCGCUGGUUCCAAAGUAGUCGAAUUAAGUUCCCUGCACGAAUUAAAAUCUCUUCGAUUUCUAACCCGUGCUUAUCAACUUCCAACUCUGUUCCGUCACACUGCUCUGUUCUCCUCCUGAUGAUCCUCUGUUUCUGGUGUUCUUUCCGCUCGGGUUGCACGAAUCUCUGUAACUACCGCUGCUCCCAAACUCAGGACCACAAGCGUUGCAUCAAGUACUGUAACCUUUGCUGCCAGAAAUGCCCGUGCGUUCCCCCGGCUUCUACGGCAACAAGCAAGUCUGCCCCUGCUACAACAACAUGAAGAAUGCCCGCGGCGGUCCAAAGUGCCCGUGAAGAGUGUAUCGAUCGUCCGGCACUCGACGAGAUCUUACUUAGCUUCUUGCAGACAGACUUGUAUUGGCAUGAAAAAAUCUGCCCAUCUGUUUCAAAAGGCUUUAGAUUAGUUGUAAGAGAAUGAAAUGGAUUCAAGUAUACCAUACUCUCUUUCGCUUUAC
rnacentral:lncRNA from 1 species